UCUCGUCGCUACUGUCGAACCGAUGUCGCUCUGUCUCCCUCGCUUCUCUCUCUCUCUCUCUCUCUCUCUCUCUCUCUCUCUCUCUCUGUGUGUGUGUGUGUGUGUCGCUGCCCAUAGACUUUGUCAGUCAAACCCUAAUUUUGCUGGUGGGAAAUUAAAGGUGGAAAAACAUUCAUUGGGUUUCUUUUCCAAGAAUUGAUUGAGCAUAACUCGUUCAGGCCAAUUGUUUGAUGAAAUACACGUAUUCUCCCAUUGAACUUUGCAAGCAGACAAAAGGACUAAAAUGAGCCUAUGUAUAGCAGAAAUUUGAAGCUACAUGUUUGGAGAUGCAAUAGGCUAUGUAUGAGGUCCCGAUAGACAGGUCGAGAGUCCUCCAAGUAGGCUAUCGG